rnacentral:misc_RNA from 1 species
GAUGAAGAACGUAGUGAAAUGCGAUAAGUAAUGUGAAUUGCAGAAUUCAGUGAAUCAUCGAAUCUUUGAACGCACAUUGCGCCCGCCAGUAUUCUGGCGGGCAUGCCUGUUCGAGCGUCAUUUCAACCAUCAAGCCCCAGGCUUGUGUUGGGGACCUGCGGCUGCCGCAGGCCCUGAAAACCAGUGGCGGGCUCGCUGUCACACCGGGCGUAGUAGAUUUUAUCUCGCUCAGGGCGUGCUGCGGGUUCCGGCCGUUAAAAAGCCUUUUUUACCCAAGGUUGACCUCGGAUCAGGUAGGAAUACCCGCUGAACUUAAGCAUAUCAAUAAGCGGAGG